rnacentral:rRNA from 1 species
GACGUAGGGGGCGAGCGUUGUCCGGAUUUAUUGGGCGUAAAGCGCGCGUAGGCGGUUUGUUAAGUGGGAUGUGAAAUCCCCGGGCUUAACCUGGGAAUUGCAUUUCAAACUGGCCGACUAGAGUACGGUAGAGGGAGGUAGAAUUUCCUGUGUAGCGGUGAAAUGCGUAGAUAUAGGAAGGAAUACCAGUGGCGAAGGCGGCCUCCUGGAUCGAUACUGACGCUGAGGCGCGAAAGCGUGGGGAGCAAACAGG